UAUUUUCAAUGAUUUAUUCAUUUUAUGAUUUAACUCCAAUGAAGUAAUAAGCUACAUUGAUGAAUUUAACUGCAGGUCUUUAGACCAAAUACUCCCAAUUUUGCUCUAUAAAAUACUAAACAUAUGUGAUAAAGUUCUUGAACCCUUCAGCCAUGCUCAGAACACUGCAGUGUAGGGAUGAACUUAACCUGUUAGUAGGUUAGGAUGACAGAACUAAGGAACUAGACUGUCUAAAGAAUCAGUCAGAGUCUGAUUUUUUUUAAGAGUCUGAUUCUUUUAGACAAAGACUUGAUUUGGUUCCCCCACACCAAAGUGCUAAGCUUAAAAUGCAGCCUGUUCUGUUCCUGAGAGGCUGAAAAGGUCAGGCAAGCACCAUGCCAGUAAAUCCCAGCACUCAGGAAGCUGAAGUAGGAGGAUCACAUGUUCAAGGGUGGCCUGGGCUAUACAGAAAGACCCCACCUCAAAGAGAAAAAAAGCUGAAAAGGUCAAUGUUAUUUAAAAAAAAAAAAAAAAAAACACACAAGUAUGGGAUCUUCCAUGAUAUUUUGCAUCUAAACUGGCAAAUGAAAACUUCCAAAGAUCUUGAAUUAGGUCAAAACUAAGUUUUCUGAAGAAUAGAAACUACCUCCCUUCAUAAUGGCAGGUCUCAGGACUGUUCUGUGCUGGUGACACCUGGGAGCAAUGAGACAGGGGAGGGAGGGAAGGAAGGUAAUAAUGAGGUGACAAGGAGCACUAGAUAUCAAAUGCAACGGAAAAGAAGUAACAAUGCUAAAGUUUUAAAAAAGUUUAAUGGAGCCAAUAAUUAGGCAUAUAAAUUGAGUUCUGGCAGACAUUAAGACCUGCUUUCUCUUACCAAAGAAAAUGGCACGCUUUAUCAAAAUUUGACAAUUGAGAGUAAAGGGUAUUAAGAUUAAGCUUCAGAGCACCAACUUAAAGCAACCAAAAAUAUUGUUAUUCAACUUGGAAAGGGGAAACAGAACCAAGGCAGGAAGGGAAGCUUAAAUAUGUAUUCCUCAGUCUCAAAAUCCUGUAGUUCUGGGAUCAGAGUUCAGGCUUCUGGUGAACAGCCUUCGCACCACCAAACCCCAAUUCCAGAAUCUAAAUUUACAAUGAUAGAAAAACAAAACUAACUCCAUUUCUUGGUAUACUCCAAAGGGAAGCCUAUACGUAUUCAUAAUACAUAGGCUUGUCCAUUUCAGGUAAGAUGACAGAUUGCUAUAAUUCUUCCUGCUAUUCAAAAAAAAAAAAGCUCCACUUUUGCAAAAAUUUAGAAAUACCUCACUUUCAUUCCUAGUUUGAGUAUGGAUUUCACUGUUUUAAAUAAGGGCUAUAUCUAUAAUGAAUACAGAACUUCAAUUCACACAACAUUUCUAACAUUCCAUUCACAUCCCACCCAGUCAAUAAUGUAGCAAGGUUUCUUCACAGAAAGGUAUUAUUUAAAUGGCUGAAGAAAUUGCAAAUUUUUAACAAAGUGCUGUAAUUACUGGAAAAACCCUUACACUGAUUUGCAAUGGUCAUUAAAGGAUUAAAAAUAGAAGUAACUGAUACUGGACUACAAGUUUGCAAGGAAACAUUUUUCACUGUCCUACUUGAUAUAUUUAUAAUAUAAUAGAAUAAAUUACAGUACCUGGCAGGCUGACAUCAGUUCUUUGUCUAAAAAGACUAUCAUUCAGUUCAAGGUAGUAAAAAUGAAGAUGAAACAUG